CCUACGGGUGGCAGCAGUAGGGAAUCUUCCACAAUGGGCGAAAGCCUGAUGGAGCAACGCCGCGUGGGUGAAGAAGGUCUUCGGAUCGUAAAACUCUGUUGAUAGAGAAGAAAGUGCGUGAGAGUAACUGUUCACGUUUCGACGGUAUCUAACCAGAACGCCACGGCUAACUACGUGCCAGCAGCCGCGGUAAUACGUAGGUGGCAAGCGUUAUCCGGAUUUAUUGGGCGUAAAGGGAACGCAGGCGGUCUUUUAAGUCUGAUGUGAAAGCCUUCGGCUUAACCGGAGUAGUGCAUUGGAAACUGGGAGACUGGAGUGCAGAAGAGGAGAGCGGAACUCCAGGUGUAGCGGUGAAAUGCGUAGAUAUAAGGAAGAACACCAGUGGCGAAGGCGGCUCUCUGGUCUGUAACUGACGCUGAGGUUCGAAAGCGUGGGUAGCAAACAGGAUUAGAUACCCGUGUAGUC
rnacentral:rRNA from 1 species